AUACCCGUACAAGGGUGAGGUCAUAAAAAGGCCCAGCAUCCUGAAUGUAAUGAAUAGAAGGAGGUGGGCAGAAGCAUGUCCGUGAGUUGAGGGAGCUGCUUGCCUGAACGCCUACUACAAGUGUAGUACUCUUUCAACAAUUUUAAGACACCGUGUCAACAUGAUGGUAGUUCAGACAGACCAGGCUCAUGCUCCUGUAUUCCUGAAAGUGCUGUGCUGUGAAAGACUAUGAGGGAAGAGAGAGAGUUGGGGACUAACUGCCUGGCCUCAGAUGCAGAAGUAUGUAUUUUAUCUCCUGGAC
rnacentral:lncRNA from 1 species